AUACUUACUUGGCGUCGGGGUUACCGUGAUCAAGAAGGCGGUUCCUCCAGGACGAGACCCUUCCAUUGCACUGAGGUAGGGACAAAUCCUGCGAUUAUCCCUAAAGUGGAUAAAUCGGGCGCGCAAUUUUUGGUAGUCGGGACUGCGUACGCGCUAUCCCGGU